GCUGAGCCUUGGAGCCUGUGGUGGGGGAGCGGGGGAGGACGGGAGGGGAGGAGGGCGUGGUUUUAUGCAGCUCCUCACUCCUCUCCUCCCGUCUUCUUCUUCUUCCUCCCAUUCCUGCCUGUCUCGGCGGCUC
ensembl:miRNA